rnacentral:rRNA from 1 species
CACGUAGGGUGCGAGCGUUGUCCGGAAUUAUUGGGCGUAAAGAGCUCGUAGGCGGUGUGUCGCGUCGGCCGUGAAAACCUGCAGCUUAACUGUGGGCUUGCGGUCGAUACGGGCAUCACUGGAGUUCGGCAGGGGAGACUGGAAUCCUGGUGUAGCGGUGAAAUGCGCAGAUAUCAGGAGGAACACCGGUGGCGAAAGCGGCACACUGGGCCUUUUCUGACGCUGAGGCACG